GACGAACGCUGGCGGCGUGCUUAACACAUGCAAGUCGAACGGACAGGCCCUGCUUUUGCUGGGUGCUCGUGUGGCGAACAGGUGAGUAACACGUGAGUAUCAUGUCCUUGUCUUUCGGGUAACUUUAGGGAAAUCGGGCUCAUAUACGGUAGGAGCUCCUGCUGCAUGGUGGGGGUUGGUAAGUUUCGGCGGUUCGGGAUGGUAUCGCGGGUUAUCAGCUUGUUGGUGGGGUAGUGGAUUACCAAGCCUUUGACGGGUAGCCGGCCUGAGAGGGGUACCGGCCACAUGGGGACUGAGAUACGGCCCAGACGCCUACGGGAGGCAGCAGUGGGGAAUAUUGCAGAAUGGGCGGAAGCCAGAUGCAGCAACGCUGCGUGCGGGAUGACGGCCUACGGGGUGUAAACCGCUGUCGCCGGUGACGAAGCGUGAUUGACGGUAAUGGGUAAAGAAGCACCGGCUAACUACGUG
rnacentral:rRNA from 1 species